rnacentral:rRNA from 1 species
GACGAACGCUGGCGGCGUGCUUAACACAUGCAAGUCGAACGGAAAGGCCCUGCUUUUGUGGGGUGCUCGAGUGGCGAACGGGUGAGUAACACGUGAGUAACCUGCCCUUGACUUUGGGAUAACUUCAGGAAACUGGGGCUAAUACCGGAUAGGAGCUCCUGCUGCAUGGUGGGGGUUGGAAAGUUUCGGCGGUUGGGGAUGGACUCGCGGCUUAUCAGCUUGUUUGUGGGGUAGUGGCGUACCAAGGCUUUGACGGGUAGCCGGCCUGAGAGGGUGACCGGCCACAUUGGGACUGAGAUACGGCCCAGACUCCUACGGGAGGCAGCAGUGGGGAAUAUUGCACAAUGGGGGGAAGCGUGAUGUAGCAACGCCGCGUGCGGGAUGAUGGGCUUCGGGUUGUAAACCGCUUUCGCCUGUGAUGAAGCGUGAGUGACGGUAAUGGGUAAAGAAGCACCGGCUAACUACGUG